rnacentral:rRNA from 1 species
GAUGAACGCUGGCGGCGUGCCUAAUACAUGCGAGUCGAGCGAACGGACGAGAAGCUUGCUUUUCUGAUGUUAGCGGCGGACGGGUGGGUAACACGUGGAUAACCUACCUAUAAGACUGGGAUAACUUCGGGAAACCGGAGCUAAUACCGGAUAAUAUUUUGAACCGCAUGGUUCAAAAGUGAAAGACGGUCUUGCUGUCACUUAUAGAUGGAUCCGCGCUGCAUUAGCUAGUUGGUAAGGUAACGGCUUACCAAGGCAACGAUGCAUAGCCGUCCUGAGAGGGUGAUCGGCCACACUGGAACUGAGACACGGUCCAGACUCCUACGGGAGGCAGCAGUAGGGAAUCUUCCGCAAUGGGCGAAAGCCUGACGGAGCAACGCCGCGUGAGUGAUGAAGGUCUUCGGAUCGUAAAACUCUGUUAUUAGGGAAGAACAUAUGUGUAAGUAACUGUGCACAUCUUGACGGUACCUAAUCAGAAAGCCACGGCUAACUACGUG